ACAUUACUAUCAUAAGAACCUCAAGUAUUUCAUAUCAACAUGUUGUCGUAUUAUAUAAAGCCUCACUUAAAAAUACAUCAAGUACUUGGCUAUGGAUUAUGAAAUAAAAAUUACAACAAUAAGGUCUUAAUAAUUCUAAUAGAAUCUUAAACAAACCUCAAUUAAAGUUCAAUAAUUUUAAUCAAACUUUGAUCAAAUCUAUUUGAAAUAUUAAAGAUAUUACAAAAAAUAUAUUAAAAAAACUUUUAAAAAUAUCAAAAUAAAAAUCAUAAUUAAAUCCUAAUUAAAUUCUAAAUCCUAAAUAAAUCUUAGUUAAAUUCUAAAUCCUAAAUCAAAACCUCGUUAAACCUUAAAUAUUAAACUAAAACAUAAUAAAAUCUUAAAUCCUAAACCAAAUCCUUAUAAAAUCCUAAAAUCUAAAUAAAUCCAAAUGAAAUCCUAAUCAAA
rnacentral:lncRNA from 1 species